AGUAGAGAAGACACUAGCAUAGCAUGACUUACAGCUGCCUGGUUGGCUUGGGGGAGGUGAGGAGUACAGAACAGGGAAACAGACAUGAGGCCUGAUGACUGACUACCUGUGGACCUCAGCCCACAGGAUGAUGACACCACAUGCUGCAGCACACAGGAUGAUGACAUCACAUGCUGCAGUCCAGGAUGAUGAUAUCACAUGCUGCAGCCCAGGAUGAUGACAUCACAUGCUGCAGCUCAGUGUGGUGCUACACUAUACCGUGACACCAAGGGAGAGGGUGCUGAUCCCCAGGGGCUGAGCACGGAGACUCUCGGGGCAGGAGUAUUCGUUCCUUUUCUGCUGUGAUAGAAUACCCUUAGGAAAGUCAGGUAAAGGGAGAAAGGUAUGUUUUGGCUACUGUCCGUUAUGACUGGUAAGGCAUGGCUGUAUGAUCAUGAGGCUGGCAGUCAUGAAGGAGAGAAGGAGAAGGAAGUGAAGCCAGGCUAUAAAACCCCAAAGACUGGCCCCAGUGACAGACUUCCUCUAGG